CAAGUCGAACGCUUCAGCAAUGAAGAGUGGCAGACGGGUGAGUAACGCGUGGGAACCUUCCCAGUGGUACGGAAUAGCCCAGGGAAACUUGGGGUAAUACCGUAUAAGCCCUUAGGGGGAAAGAUUUAUCGCCAUUGGAUGGGCCCGCGUCGGAUUAGCUUGUUGGUGAGGUAAAAGCUCACCAAGGCGACGAUCCGUAGCUGGUCUGAGAGGAUGAUCAGCCACACUGGGACUGAGACACGGCCCAGACUCCUACGGGAGGCAGCAGUGGGGAAUAUUGGACAAUGGGCGCAAGCCUGAUCCAGCCAUGCCGCGUGAGUGACGAAGGCCUUAGGGUUGUAAAGCUCUUUUGGCGGGGACGAUAAUGACGGUACCCGCAGAAUAAGCUCCGGCUAACUUCGUGCCAGCAGCCGCGGUAAUACGAAGGGAGCUAGCGUUGUUCGGAAUUACUGGGCGUAAAGCGCACGUAGGCGGACUUGUUAGUCAGGGGUGAAAUCCCGGGGCCCAACCUCGGAACUGCCUUUGAUACUGCAAGUCUGGAGUCCGGAAGAGGUGGGUGGAAUUCCUAGUGUAGAGGUGAAAUUCGUAGAUAUUAGGAAGAACACCGGUGGCGAA
rnacentral:rRNA from 1 species